AUUACAUUCUGCCCAAGAACCAGUCAGAAAAUACAGAGGAUGCUUGCUGUUGAGAAGACAAAAAAAAAAGAUUUAAUGUAGUGUUUGAAUUGGUAAUGAAACAUGGUUGUGUUCCAUCAGAAGACAAAUCAGACAAAUGAAUUAUCAGGACACUGAAAUGCUACCAUGGUGACUCACUCCAAAUUCGGCUGCACUGUGUGUCCUGUGACAUAAUGUGCUUUUUCUUCUGAUGGAAUAAGUAGAAAUUCUGGAACCCACAAACAUCCUGAAUGACCCAGUGUUCUUGUUAUACAUCAGAGCACCCUGACAAAUGAGACAGUCCCCCAAAAAUGCGGGGAGCACUUUGCCAGCUGACGUGUCACCAGCUAUGGGGACAGUCUGAAAGGCACAUUUCACAUGGAGGAGCACACAUCUUGGAGCACUGAGCAUCUGUGCUCCGCUUCUCCCUGGCAUUAUUACCUAGCUGAUAAACUGAAGUGGUACCAGCAGGGCAGCCUCAUCUUCACAGCAAAAUAAUGGUCAUCUGCCAGGAAAGCA